rnacentral:lncRNA from 1 species
ACAGGGUCCCAGAAGCAAGGGCAGUGAGGACCUGGCCCACGUCCCUGGCACGGGGUGUCUGAUUCUCCUUCGCUGUGGCGGGAAGAUGGCCGGAUUUGAAGGCCUCAGCUGCUCACUGCUGUGCCUUGAUCGGCCUGGACGAGCCCGCCCACACCUCCAUCAUACCCAGUGUGAAGAGGGGCUGGGGACCCACCACUCCUGAGAACAGCAUCCUUGGGAAGACCCAGCUGUGAGUGCACAGCAGGCACAGUCCCUCAGGCCCAGGUGCUAUGGGGCCGCAGCAGCAUCAACAGCCUCUCUCAGCUGCUGCAGCAGCUCUUUGGGCUGUGGUGAGAACGCGCUGGUGUCCACUCUCUGGAAGUCAGGGUGCGCAACCAAGGAGGCCAGCACCUCUGUGAUGCGCCCAACAUCAAAGGCUGCCUGUUCGAAACCCAACCCAGCACCGUCCUCAGCGGCUGCCUCCCUCGGGACCAGGAGCCUCUUCUCAGCGAUGACCUUGAGGAAGUGGUAAAACUCUUCAAAGUUGAUGCCCGAGCAGGACCUCAUGAUGACCUGGGCAGAGGGAAGAGGCCAGUGAGCUAACACCAUGGACACAGUCCAAGCUGCAAAGGACCCAACAUGUGCCCAGUCCCCAAGGACAAAGAAGGGACCAUAAGACAGAGGCACUGAGAAGCUGCGCGGUGACCAAGGGAGUCUGAGCCAUGCAGCCUAAAAGCCUCCCCCAGGAGGGUAGCCUCCAUGCGUAGCCACCCCACCUGGCAGUGGUGGUGCCAGUCGGGCAUGGAGUCCCUCCACUCGCUGACCUCCUCCUGCACGGCGCAUAGCUCCUGCUGCAAGAAGCGCCACAUGUUGGCCAGGUUGAAGCCAUUGACCCAGUUGUGGUUGAUGGAGAUGGUGUCAUCCUGGAAGGGGCACAGUGCAGGCAGGCCUGAGCCCAUGGCAGGUGCCCCCUGACCAGCCCACAUCUCCUGCGCCAGGAACCCACUGUGGGGUCCAGCCCUCU